UUAGUCGAGGUGGUGGUCACGUUUUGAGAUUAUUCACUAGGAAACAAAUUUGUCACUUCACUUUAAUGAAAAAUCGAAAGUCGCGCACCGACAACCGAUCUAUUGGCGAACAUUGUUAAAACUACUGAAGUUUACAACUUGCAACAUGAUGGCAAUAAACAAGCUAUAAUACGAGUACGGCUACGUCAACAAGGACGCAUAUUAAUGAAAAGUCCCCGUCAGAUUUUCAACAUUUACCGACUUUGUUCGUGAGCCGUUUGUGUGUGGCAUACAAAACGCACCGUCGUCUUAUCACUGGACACUUAUCUACUGCUCCACGGUACACAAACGAAGUAAAUAAUUUGGGAUACCUACCUAUCUGGAGAUAAUAGUGAUAAAAUCACCGGAACUGUUGUAUGUAUGUAUAUUUUCAGUGGUUGCACAUGCAAUAAAACUAAAAGGCUGGAUAAUUGACAAACACAGAAUGUAACAAUUAGUUUCUUCAAUCCACCUGCUUGCAAUCCGGUAAAAAGCAAUGUUGUAAGAUUAUUAGUUGCAAGAUUGCGUUGGUGAGACCAGGUGAAGCUUGUGGGCAGCAAUAAUAGCACAACAGUAUCCAUGCCUAUAUCAGGCUAGAUGCAUGCAAAUAUCUCGUUAUUGUUUCACCACAAUCGAAGUUUCGAGGGCAAAUCGGUAGCUUGRUGAUCUUACCUGAUAUGGCGAUGUCUGGAAGAUGGUCGUGAUCCGAGGAACUGGAAAAAGCCCACGUGUUUCGUACACCCACGUGACUCCAGAUGUYACGCACGCCACUGUCUUCACCACUCCUGCAAAACAAAUCACGAUUAAUUGUUUUGAUAUAGACGUCGUUUACCUGGCACAGGACCGAAAUGAAUUAUUUAUUGAUCGGGUGGGCGGCCCGGCCGCUUGCUCAAUUUUUUUGUGUAAACUGGCCCAUUAUGUUAAUUGUCUUGCAAUUACCGAUUAUGCAAGUGUGUCACGACGACGGUCACUUUUCGAUGCCGCAGGAUGACAUUUGAAAAAAGCGAGCUUUGAAGACAUUUACUGUUUUAACCGUAAUGAAGUACAAUUUGUUUGAGAGGAAUUUUAUUAGAAUUAAUUAAAAUAUUUCCACUUGAGAAUUUAUUGAAGUCGUUAUUGCAGCUGCAAGGAUAUGCUAAGGCUGGAACAGGUAGCUAGCAAAAAUGCUGAAGCUGCGCGAUAAAAGAUUCAAGCUUUGAUAAGUCGUAAAAUAUUGUUACGAUAUUUUCAACUUUUAUAUGCUGGGAGACAGGAAAGUGUGUUUAAUUUUUUUGACUGUAAUUAUGUAAUUAAAGACCUAAGCAGUCGUCUGCAAAAAUAAGGCACAGGAACUUAAUUGAAAUAUAUAUUUAAAAGGCUUCUCAGGAUGAAAAAAUAUUUGAUUAAAAAUAAAAUGAAAUAAGAAUUAAGUUGUAUUAAAUUACUUUCAGGAGGCACUUUACUCUUAUCAAAUUUAUAUACUUGUUUUACCUAACAAGAAGAAAUUAUUCUUUUAGCCUACUUUUAGAAAGUAUGUUACUGAUAGUCAUGUUUACAUUUAAGUGAUUGUUUUGUGUAACUUAUCGUUAAUAAAAACUACACACACUUAUGCUAAAAAUUACACAAAGUAAAUUUGCUUUAAUAGUAUUGCAAAAAUUAAAAUAAUACUUGUAAAUUACAAGAGGAAAGGUUUUUGAAGAACCAGAAUUAGGUAAGUUUUUAUUUAAAAACUUGUAUCUACAAUAGUACCUUUUGCAGCGACAUUAAUUUUAAUUAAUCACUUACUUAUAAAAAAUUUAUGAUGAGCUCUCGAAUUUACUAUUUUUUUAAUAAAAGCAAUUGUUUACUAUUGCUAGAAAUUAUUACAAUAUUUGCUAAUGUUAAAUUAUACGGAGAGGAUUAUAAAAAACGCCCCAAGCCAUAACUUUAUUAUUUUUAAAGAUAUGUAUGACAAUACUUCUUUGAUCAAAGUUCAACAGUUUAUUGUGAGCAGUUUUUUUUUGGAUAGAUGCACAAUAACAAUAAACUGUGCAAUUUUGUUCCAAGGAGUAUUAUCUAUUGUCAUGUCUUUAAAAAUAAUGAAGUUAUGGCUUGAGGCGGUUUUUUAUGUAAAGUACAUAAAAGAAAAAGUCAUUUAAAUGUAUUAAUUAAAAAUAUAUUUUAUUAAAAAAAGAUUUACUUUAUUUACUUUGGUCAGGACAUUUUUGUUGGGUUUACAAUUGACAUUUUUAGUCAUAAUUCUUUUUUUUUAAUCUAUAGUAAGAAUUAAAUAUUUACUACUGGUGCAAACUUACAACACUAAAACUCCAGAAUAUUUCUUCUACCUGUUAAAACUAGCUUAUUAUCCUUACACGAGGGUGAGAAAAUAUCCCUCCCCACAGAACACAAUAUUUUAUUUUUUGUUUAAUUUUUUUCAUUAUUUUUUGUAUAAAUCAUAGCGCCUAGAUAUAGAUCUUAAUAUUAUUGUAACACCAUUUUAUUGCGGAUUUUUUUUAAAUUUCACUUUGGUGAAUAAUUACUACUGGAACUAUCGUUAUUGAUAAACUGCAAUAAUAUUAAGAGCUUUAUCUUUUAUCUUUAUCAAUCAUUUAUGUAUUAUCAAAAUUUAAUAAAAAUUGAAGGGACUUUGAAGAAAAAUUUCUGAAUUUGAAAUACAAUUCAGAAAAUUCAUAUAAAAUACAUAAAAUACAAACAGUUUUCUUGAAUUUGUUAAACGUUUUAAUAGAUUAAAGUGAUAAAAUUAGGAGCAGACUUUCAAAAUGCAGUUUGUCCAUGUAUUUAUGAAUUGAGAUAAAGGUUUUUUUGUAAAAUGCCUAAGUACUCCAGCCGUAAAAUUAGUGUCCAAUUGUGUUUAAUGUGUACAUAUUUUUUCACAUUUAUUGCGACUGAUAUAAAAAAUUUAAAUUAUUUUUUAAAAGAAGKACAGUUUUUGCUCUCUCCUGCAAAAAUGCAAAUUUGCACAAACUGCUUUUUGAAAGUCUGCUCCUCAAAUAGUAUUUAAUAUAAUACGACGUGUAUUGCCUUACAUGACAUAACUAGUAAAAUAAAUAGUUUAAGUGUUUAUUUACAAAACUUUGKAAUGUUAUCGUUUUAUU